CUGGCUCAGGACGAACGCUGGCGGCGUGCUUAACACAUGCAAGUCGAACGGAACGCAACUGGGUUUACUCGGGAGCGUUUAGUGGCGGACGGGUGAGUAACGCGUGAGCAACCUGCCCAUAAGAGGGGGACAACAGCUGGAAACGGCUGCUAAUACCGCAUAAGACCACAGCGUCACAUGACGAAGGGGUCAAAGAUUUAUCGCUUAUGGAUGGGCUCGCGUCCCAUUAGCUAGUUGGUGAGGUAACGGCCCACCAAGGCGACGAUGGGUAGCCGACCUGAGAGGGUGAUCGGCCACACUGGAACUGAGAUACGGUCCAGACUCCUACGGGAGGCAGCAGUGGGGAAUAUUGGGCAAUGGGCGAAAAAGCCUGACCCAGCAACGCCGCGUGAGGGAAGAAGGUCUUCGGAUUGUAAACCUCUGUCCUUAGGGACGAAGAAAGUGACGGUACCUAAGGAGGAAGCCCCGGCUAACUACGUGCCAGCCGCAGC
rnacentral:rRNA from 1 species